CCUACGGGAGACAGCAGUGAGGAAUAUUGGUCAAUGGGCGGGAGCCUGAACCAGCCAAGUCGCGUGAGGGACGACGGUCCUAUGGAUUGUAAACCUCUUUUGUCGGGGAACAAAGGCGCCCACGGGUGGGCGGAUGAGUGUACCCGAAGAAAAAGCAUCGGCUAACUCCGUGCCAGCAGCCGCGGUAAUACGGAGGAUGCGAGCGUUAUCCGGAUUUAUUGGGUUUAAAGGGUGCGUAGGCGGUCCGUUAAGUCAGCGGUAAAAUUGCGGGGCUCAACCCCGUCGAGCCGUUGAAACUGGCAGACUUGAGUUGGCGAGAAGUACGCGGAAUGCGCGGUGUAGCGGUGAAAUGCAUAGAUAUCGCGCAGAACUCCGAUUGCGAAGGCAGCGUACCGGCGCCAGACUGACGCUGAGGCACGAAAGCGUGGGGAUCGAACAGGAUUAGAUACCCUAGUAGUC
rnacentral:rRNA from 1 species